rnacentral:rRNA from 1 species
GUAGGUGGCAAGCGUUGUCCGGAAUUAUUGGGGCGUAAAGCGCGCGCAGGCGGGUUCUUUAAGUCUGAUGUGAAAGCCCACGGGCUCAACCGUGGAGGGUCAUUGGAAACUGGGGAACUUGAGUACAGAAGAGGAAAGCGGAAUUCCACGUGUAGCGGUGAAAUGCGUAGAGAUGUGGAGGAACACCAGUGGCGAAGGCGGCUUUCUGGUCUGUAACUGACGCUGAGGCGCGAAAGCGUGGGGAGCAAACAGGAUUAGAUACCCUGGUAGUCCACGCCGUAAACGAUGAGUGCUAAGUGUUAGGGGGUUUCCGCCCCUUAGUGCUGCAGCUAACGCAUUAAGCACUCCGCCUGGGGAGUACGGCCGCAAGGCUG